UUCUUAUCAAGAGUGGCGGAGGGAUUGGCCCUUUGAAGCCACAGCAACCGCUCUGAUGUUAUGUCGGGGGUCAGGUGCUAAUUCCGACAAGGCUUAUAUGUGCAAGCCUUGAAAGAUAAGAU
rnacentral:ncRNA from 2 species